rnacentral:rRNA from 1 species
GAUGAACGCUAGCGGCAGGCCUAACACAUGCAAGGUCGAGGGGGCAUCGCGGUGCAGCAAUGCACUGGCGGCGACCGGCGUACGGGUGCGUAACGCGUAUGCAACCUGCCCCGCACCGGGGGAUAGCCCGCCGAAAGGCGGAUUAAUACCCCAGUGGUCCCGGGGGCCCGCAUGGGCAUCCGGGUAAAGCCUUGGCGGUGCGGGAUGGGCAUGCGUGCCAUUAGCUGGGCUGGUGGGGUAACGGCCCACCAGGGCAACGAUGGCUAGGGGGUCUGAGAGGAUGGUCCCCCACACUGGUACUGAGACACGGACCAGACUCCUACGGGAGGCAGCAGUGAGGAAUAUUGGUCAAUGGGGCGGAAGCCUGAACCAGCCAUGCCGCGUGCGGGAUGAAGGCCCUACGGGUUGUAAACCGCUUUUCCCCGGGAAGAAUAAGCCCCCCGCGGGGGGUGAUGCCGGUACCGGGGGAAUAAGGAUCGGCUAACUCCGUG